rnacentral:tRNA from 1 species
CGCGCCGGUAGCCCAGGUCGAGCGGGUGCUGUCAUGAGCGGCGUCGAGCGGCACCGUGGCAUGGGUUCGACGCCCGGCGACGAGG